GAUGAACGCUGGCGGCGUGCCUAAUACAUGCAAGUCGAACGCAUUGAGAGAAGUGCUUGCACUUUUCAAUUUGAGUGGCGAACGGGUGAGUAACACGUGGGCAACCUACCUGAUAGCGGGGGAUAACGAGUGGAAACAUUCGCUAAUACCGCAUAACAAUAGAGAAGGCAUCUUCUUUAUUUAAAAGGCGCUUUCAAGCGUCACUAUCAGAUGGGCCCGCGGUGCAUUAGUUAGUUGGUGGGGUGAAGGCCUACCAAGACGUUGAUGCAUAGCCGAGUGGAGAGACUGAUCGGCCACAUUGGGACUGAGACACGGCCCAAACGCCUGCGGGAGGCUGCAGUAGGGAAUCUUCCACAAUGGACGAAAGUCUGAUGGAGCAACGCCGCGUGUGUGAUGAAGGCUUUCGGGUCGUAAAGCACUGUUGUAUGGGAAGAAAUGCUAGGCUAGGAAAUGAGCUUAGUUUGACGGUACCAUACCAGAAAGGGACGGCUAAAUACGUGCCAGCCGCCGCCGUAA
rnacentral:rRNA from 1 species